rnacentral:rRNA from 1 species
UACGGGGGGAGCAAGCGUUGUUCGGAUUUACUGGGCGUAAAGGGCGCGUAGGCGGCGUGGUAAGUCACUUGUGAAAUCUCCGGGCUUAACUCGGAACGGUCAAGUGAUACUGCUGUGCUAGAGUGCGGAAGGGCAACUGGAAUUCUCGGUGUAGCGGUGAAAUGCGUAGAUAUCGAGAGGAACACCUGCGGCGAAGGCGGGUUGCUGGCCGACACUGACGCUGAGGCGCGAAAGCUAGGGGGAGCGAACGGG